GGGCGGUUAGCUCAGCGGUAGAGCACACCCUUCACACGGGUGGGGUCACAGGUUCAAUCCCUGUACCGCCCACCA
rnacentral:tRNA from 1 species